rnacentral:rRNA from 1 species
UAGGGAAUCUUCGGCAAUGGACGAAAGUCUGACCGAGCAACGCCGCGUGAGUGAAGAAGGUUUUCGGAUCGUAAAACUCUGUUGUUAGAGAAGAACAAGGACGUUAGUAACUGAACGUCCCCUGACGGUAUCUAACCAGAAAGCCACGGCUAACUACGUGCCAGCAGCCGCGGUAAUACGUGGGCGGCAAGCGUUGUCCGGAUUUAUUGGGCGUAAAGCGAGCGCAGGCGGUUUCUUAAGUCUGAUGUGAAAGCCCCCGGCUCAACCGGGGAGGGUCAUUGGAAACUGGGAGACUUGAGUGCAGAAGAGGAGAGUGGAAUUCCGUGUGUAGCGGUGAAAUGCGUAGAUAUAUGGAGGAACACCAGUGGCGAAGGCGGCUCUCUGGUCUGUAACUGACGCUGAGGCUCGAAAGCGUGGGGAGCAAACAGG